rnacentral:rRNA from 1 species
UUUCUCGCGCGUGCUUACACUGCAAGUCGAACGAUGAUCUCCCGCUUGCGGGAGUGAUUAGUGGCGAACGGGUGAGUAAUACGUGAGUAACCUGCCCUUGACUCUGGGAUAAGCCUGGGAAACCGGGUCUAAUACUGGAUACGACCCCCUGUCGCAUGGUGGGGGGUGGAAAGGGUUUGACUGGUUUUGGAUGGGCUCACGGCCUAUCAGCUUGUUGGUGGGGUAAUGGCUCACCAAGGCGACGACGGGUAGCCGGCCUGAGAGGGUGACCGGCCACACUGGGACUGAGACACGGCCCAGACUCCUACGGGAGGCAGCAGUGGGGAAUAUUGCACAAUGGGCGCAAGCCUGAUGCAGCGACGCCGCGUGAGGGAUGACGGCCUUCGGGUUGUAAACCUCUUUCAGCAGGGAAGAAGCCACAAGUGACGGUACCUGCAGAAGAAGCGCCGGCUAACUACGUGCCAGCAGCCGCGGUAAUACGUACGGCGCAAGCGUUGUCCGGAAUAUUGGGCGUAAAGAGCUCGUAGCGGUUUGUCGCGUCUGCUGUGAAGCCCGGGGCUCAACCCCGGUCUGCAGUGGGUACGGCAGACUAGAGUGCAGUAGGGAGACUGUAUUCCUGGUGUAGCGUGAAAUGCGCAGAUAUCAGAGAACACCGAUGGCGAUGCAGGUCUCUGGGCUGUUACUGACCUGAGACGAGCAUGGACGAAGAUUAAUCCUGUAGUCAUGCCGUAACGUGCACUAGUGUGGACUUCCGUCCCGCCCUACUCAUUAGUGCCUGGGAGUCGCAGCUAACUCAUGAGUGAGGGCCAGCGACAUCGAUUAUCCACCUACUCGACCAAUCCUGGGUG